UACGGGGGGAGCAAGCGUUGUUCGGAUUUACUGGGCGUAAAGGGCGCGUAGGCGGCCACGACAAGUCACUUGUGAAAUCUCCGGGCUUAACUCGGAACGGUCAAGUGAUACUGUCGGGUUAGAGUGCAGAAGGGGCAACUGGAAUUCUCGGUGUAGCGGUGAAAUGCGUAGAUAUCAGGAGGAACACCGGUGGUGUAGACGGCUUUCUGGACCGUAACUGACGCUGAGACACGAAAGCGUGGGUAGCAAACAGG
rnacentral:rRNA from 1 species